UACACCGCUCGAGCCAUCUUGGCUCGGUGUUGGGGCUCUAGGGGUUACGGCCCCUAGGCUCCCAAAGGCAUUGCGCGGCCCUAGGACCAGGACCCGAGCACAGUAAACUCCCCGUUGGGCUGCUCCCGGGAUACUGCGCCGGGGCGCCAGCCGUAAAACCCCCGACACAGGCCCGCAAGGGCCGACUGA
rnacentral:misc_RNA from 1 species